rnacentral:tRNA from 1 species
UCCGAAUUCGUAUAUUGGCUAGUAUGACCGCCUCUCAUGGGAGUGUGUUCGCGGUAGAGACGGGUUCGACUCCCGUAUUCGGAA